UUCUAUUAAUUUAAAAAACAUAUUUAAUGUUAGCUACGCAGUUUGGCAUCUGGUUUUAAGGAUACGUAGAACUGCGGUGAGUUUUACUUGCGAGCUACAAUGUAGUGGUAUGCGGUAUGUUAAGUAACAAUGUAUAUUUAUUGUUAUAAGUCUGUUAGUAUCGGUCACCGAUAUAGCUCAUAACUGAACUGAGGAACGAAGUUGAGCAGUAGCUCUAUUUAUAAUCUUUCUAAUAGUUGUUAUCAACGGAUAUCAAUGUAUAUAGACGGAUAGUUACUCCUUAUGAUCAAUAGGCGGAUCUUAACUAGUAUUCCAACAUAUGACAUAUAGUGAUACGCAACGUAGUGUAGUAUUGCUGACAUUUAACCAUCAAU
rnacentral:sRNA from 1 species